rnacentral:lncRNA from 1 species
AUGGCCCGCUCCGGGCCCGAGCCCUGGGCCGCCGCCUCGCCGCGCCGCCGCUCCUCGGCGCUAUUGUCCGCGCCCGCCGAGCCCGGCCGCCGACGGGGCCGCACAGCGCUUCGCGGCCGCCCGCGCCGCCGCGUGAGGAAGUCGGGGCGCCGGUCACUGCUCCGCUCCCGCCUCCGCCAUGACCGCCGCGAAGCCGCUUCCCGCGCCGCCGCCGCCUCCUCAGGCCGCCGCCGCCAUGUUUUCCUCCCUUCUACCUGGCCCUGCCGCCGCAGCCCGCGGCUCCGCUUCGCUCCCCCGCUUCCAACGGCCGAGGCCGACGGGCGCCUGCUCCUGCUGCCGCUGCCACCACUGCACGGGAGACUCCGAGAGCCCCCGGCGCCCGAGCGCUCCGGGCUCCUGGACGUGCCUUUCCCUUCGGCGCUGCCGCCGCCUCUUCCGUCUUCCUCACAGAGCCAAAGCCGCCGCCAUCUUGGCUCGCCCUCAAUAGCGGCGCGCGGGGCCACCCAGGCAGCAGCUGCAGGGGCGGCCCGUUGGCCCCACCAUUUAAAGAGACAGGAACGAGGCCGGGAGCCUCGCUGCGGCGGAGGCCUCGGACGGAGGCGGGAGGCGGGCGCCGAGCUGCCGAGGUGGCGGGAACGCAGGGAGCGGAGGAGGCGGAACGCUGGUCGCGCCGGUGACGGCCCGGGGCUCCCUCGCGCUGCCUGCACGCACCGUCGUGCGAGCGCGGGGCGGCGUGUGCGUCCGUCGCGCCCUGUGUUCGUCAUCACCCCGGCUCGGGGAUUCGGAAGGGGCGUGGAGCCCGCUUCCGCGGCCGGCCGGCUGUCUGGCCGCCGGGCGCUGGCGUGCGGGGCUCGGAGUCCGGCCGCCGCUGCCGCUGCCCUGCAGGCGCCGGGCCGCUUCGGCCUGGGCUCCCCCGCCUCCGGGAGAGUCCUCUCCGGGCCGCCUUUGGGGCUGGACUGGCCUCCGGAGCCUCGCGGACUUCAGGCGGUUCUCCUUUGGGUGAAAUUGCAAAGCUUACGGGAAAGGCCACCGGUUUGGGCCGCGAGGUCAGCCUCAGGUCUUGGGAGGUGCCAUGGGGCAUGGAUGCGGCGAGUCUAG